rnacentral:rRNA from 1 species
UACGGGGGGGGCAAGCGUUGUUCGGAAUUACUGGGCGUAAAGGGCUCGUAGGUGGCCAACUAAGUCAGACGUGAAAUCCCUCGGCUUAACCGGGGAACUGCGUCUGAUACUGGAUGGCUUGAGUUUGGGAGAGGGAUGCGGAAUUCCAGGUGUAGCGGUGAAAUGCGUAGAUAUCUGGAGGAACACCGGUGGCGAAGGCGGCAUCCUGGACCGGCAUUGACGCUGAGGCGCGAAAGCCAGGGGAGCAAACGGG